rnacentral:rRNA from 1 species
AUUCCUACGGGAGGCAGCAGUAGGGAAUCUUCCGCAAUGGACGCAAGUCUGACGGAGCAACGCCGCGUGAGCGAAGAAGGUCUUCGGAUCGUAAAGCUCUGUUGUAAGGGAAGAACAAGUACCAGAGUAACUGCUGGUACCUUGACGGUACCUUACCAGAAAGCCACGGCUAACUACGUGCCAGCAGCCGCGGUAAUAAU